AGCAGAGUGACAGAUGGUGCAUGGUUGUCGUCAGCUCGUGUCGUGAGAUGUUGGGUUAAGUCCCGCAACGAGCGCAACCCUUGAUCUUAGUUGCCAUCAUUAAGUUGGGCACUCUAAGGUGACUGCCGGUGACAAACCGGAGGAAGGUGGGGAUGACGUCAAAUCAUCAUGCCCCUUAUGACCUGGGCUACACACGUGCUACAAUGGACGGUACAAAGAGCUGCAAGACCGCGAGGUGGAGCUAAUCUCAUAAAACCGUUCUCAGUUCGGAUUGUAGGCUGCAACUCGCCUACAUGAAGCUGGAAUCGCUAGUAAUCGCGGAUCAGCAUGCCGCGGUGAAUACGUUCCCGGGCCUUGUACACCCC
rnacentral:rRNA from 1 species